rnacentral:rRNA from 1 species
GAUGAACGCUGGCGGCGUGCUUAACACAUGCAAGUCGAACGGGAAAUAUUUCAUUGAGACUUCGGUGGAUUUGAUCUAUUUCUAGUGGCGGACGGGUGAGUAACGCGUGGGUAACCUGCCUUAUACAGGGGGAUAACAGUCAGAAAUGGCUGCUAAUACCGCAUAAGCGCACAGAGCUGCAUGGCUCAGUGUGAAAAACUCCGGUGGUAUAAGAUGGACCCGCGUUGGAUUAGCUAGUUGGUGGGGUAACGGCCCACCAAGGCGACGAUCCAUAGCCGGCCUGAGAGGGUGAACGGCCACAUUGGGACUGAGACACGGCCCAGACUCCUACGGGAGGCAGCAGUGGGGAAUAUUGCACAAUGGGGGAAACCCUGAUGCAGCGACGCCGCGUGAAGGAAGAAGUAUCUCGGUAUGUAAACUUCUAUCAGCAGGGAAGAUAGUGACGGUACCUGACUAAGAAGCCCCGGCUAACUACGUGCCAGCAGCCGCGGUAAUACGUAGGGGGCAAGCGUUAUCCGGAUUUACUGGGUGUAAAGGGAGCGUAGACGGUGUGGCAAGUCUGAUGUGAAAGGCAUGGGCUCAACCUGUGGACUGCAUUGGAAACUGUCAUACUUGAGUGCCGGAGGGGUAAGCGGAAUUCCUAGUGUAGCGGUGAAAUGCGUAGAUAUUAGGAGGAACACCAGUGGCGAAGGCGGCUUACUGGA